UCGUCUUCGUUUAAAGUAGGGUUGUUUUUGAAUGAAGAGGAUAAGAUUUGAA
rnacentral:sRNA from 1 species